GAUGUAGCUCAUUGGGUAGAGCACUAGACUUAUAAUCUAGCGGUAGAGGGUUCGAAUCCCUCCAUCCCA
rnacentral:tRNA from 1 species